rnacentral:tRNA from 1 species
UUCCUGAUGGUCCAGUGGUUAGGAUUCUGUGCUUCUGAUGCUGGAGCCUGGGUUCAAUCCCUGGUGGGGAAA